GAGCACAGAGGGACAGAGGCACGGAACCCCCAGAAAUGUCCCUCCUCAGAAACAGGCUCCAGGCCCUGCCUGCCCUGUGCCUCUGCGUGCUGGUCCUGGCCUGCAUUGGGGUUCUGUUGGCCAGGACUUUGGCCUAGACAAAGGAUGGGGGUUGUGGCUGUGGAGCGGAAGUGGGUCUCAACCACUAUAAAUCCUCUCUGUGCCCGUCCGGAGCUGGUGAGGACAGCCUGCCAGAGUCUGGUCUCUGGACACUAUGGGCACACGACUCCUCCCAGCUCUGUUUCUUGUCCUCCUGGUAUUGGGAUUUGAGGUCCAGGGGACCCAACAGCCCCAGCAAGAUGAGAUGCCUAGCCCGACCUUCCUCACCCAGGUGAAGGAAUCUCUCUCCAGUUACUGGGAGUCAGCAAAGACAGCCGCCCAGAACCUGUACGAGAAGACAUACCUGCCCGCUGUAGAUGAGAAACUCAGGGACUUGUACAGCAAAAGCACAGCAGCCAUGAGCACUUACACAGGCAUUUUUACUGACCAAGUUCUUUCUGUGCUGAAGGGAGAGGAGUAACAGCCAGACCCCCCAUCAGUGGACAAGGGGAGAGUCCCCUACUCCCCUGAUCCCCCAGGUUCAGACUGAGCUCCCCCUUCCCAGUAGCUCUUGCAUCCUCCUCCCAACUCUAGCCUGAAUUCUUUUCAAUAAAAAAUACAAUUCAAGUUGCUUCUCAUGGAUGGCACUGCUUUUCUGAGGACUCAAGGGCCAAGAUGGAGGGGCUGACUCAGUCCAGCCAACAUUUAAUGAGCACCUACUUUAUGUAUGGAGCUCUAACCCAUGGGUCCAUGGGAAUAAAGCAGUGAAUAGUAACAAUAAAUAAUCGUAACAGCA
rnacentral:lncRNA from 1 species